AUUCCUUUUAAUUAUAUUUUGUGUAUGAGCAGAACUGAGAUUUACCUACGAUAUCUAUGUAUCACUACUGCACUGUCCCCUGGUGUAUGUAUCUUGUCAUCGGCUAAUUCACAAGUCUGCAAGUUCCCGAAGUAGAUAGCAGAAGGUUGACUGGAUAUUUUGAUGUACACCAAUGUAAAAUCAUAUUGCAUGUUAUUGGUAUGCUGUUUGCACAGAUCUGUUUCAAAUCAAGUAAACUGUCUGAAUGCCAUGAUGAUGAUCAAUUUCAUCAGCUCUAUUGGAAGAGCAAAUUUGUCAUGAAGACAAACAACUGUUAUGGAUAGGAUUAUAGUAAAAAUGUUGUCAAGUCAAGGUUGCAGCAGUGCUUUAUUUUACGACUUCGUGUCCAACAAAUAUGUGGAACCCGGUUAACUUAAGCUUAACAAACAAAUAAUUCUUACAUGCUAAAACAUUUGAAGCAAACGUAGUUAUGUCGAUUUUUCGUCACUUGGCGAGUCUUUCGCAGAAGCAAAAAUAAAUAAAACUUUCAAAUAGCAACGAAA